GGCUGGACUGAUCUUGAACAGCUGUGCGGGGUUACAGCACUUUACUUUUUUUUGCCAUCAUCAAAAGUGGACAAGGUGAUAUCAGAGCUAGCAGAUAUGAUAAUAACAAUCCAUGCGUUUUCAGCUGGACAGACAGCAAAGAGAGUCAGUCAACGGCAUUUAGCACAAAAGUGCUUACAUUGUGGCAUAUGCUUUACUGAUUACAGCAAGUUGAGCCUGCAAAAUUCAUUACCUAGCAGAGGAAGGAUAUUUACAGCAAAGGCAAGCAGAUGAAACUGUCAGAGGAGUGCAAACCAGCUAUUCCGGCCAUGCAUGAAUGCAGUCUCACAGAAACACAUCACUGGUAAUCAAGAUCAGGAUCCAGCAACACAUUCACCUCCUUGAAACAGAUUCCUUUGGAUGGUAUCCCUUGGUAACACACAGACUCAUAAAUAGCAAUUUGAGGAUAAAGAAGACAACUGUACUACUAAAACACUGAGGUAGAUUAAUAUUUAAAGGCUUGAGUUAAUAUGACAGAUUUAAACCCUG